CAACUGGCCUUUGAGGAUCAACUGGCUGAGGGUGAGAGGAAAAUCUCCAAUCUUCGUGGUGGACAGAUUGACUGGGGAAAAGACCUUUGCCUUGCUGGGACCAUCUAAGGACACCACAACUUGAAUUCCUGAUACCUGACCAAUCAUUGAUUCUGUAUAUGAGGUUCCGUGUCACAUGCCCCUGUAUCAUUGUUGACAGUGCUACUCCUGCCAGGGAACCACUCUUUCCCCUUUAGCUGGCUUUUGGAUUACUGAAAAUGGAACCGCUGUCUCUCAAAUCAGGUGAUCUGAACAUCAUUUUGGAAACCAGUGGAGCACCCUCUGUUUCUCCUGUUCUGCUGGGUCACAAUACUCCACACUCACCGAGUUUGAUCCUUCAAUGAUAGAUGGAGACUGUCAGACAGACCAAUCCUAUACAAGAACAACAACAAUGAUGAUGAAAACAGUUUCUAGUUUGGCCAGACUUGCAAAAAUUAGCUUUUUAUGGAUAGAGGUUUUAAGAAAGUAGAGUCAGGUUUAAACCAUGAUAGGGCUUUGACAGAAGAUGUGGAAGUAGCACAAUACCAGAAUUAUCUCUUAGUUAUUUAGAGAUGAAAUGCCAUUUGUAUGAAGCAUAAAGGAAUCCAAAUGGACUUGAGAAUUCUGAGAUUCUAAGGAAUCACUGAAUAUAAACUCAAGGUGUAUUGAUAGAAGAGACAAGAACAAAAAUAACCUGACGCUUUCCAUGCCAUGGAAAAAUGUGUCUUUGGAUUUGUCUGGGAAUAGUUUGAAACUCUCUAUUACUAUUAACUUUAAUGAAGAGGCAUUUUUCCACUCUGUGGCUUGGAGAGCAAUUUUCUGCAUACAUGCAUUUAUAAAGCAUUUUCAUUCUCAACAAGCAUGCUGAAUUGUAUGAGAAGGAGAAAACAAAUAAAACUUUCUGGAAUAAAAAAAAAAAAA